rnacentral:rRNA from 1 species
GACGAACGCUGGCGGCGUGCUUAACACAUGCAAGUCGAACGGAAAGGCCCUGCUUUUGUGGGGUGCUCGAGUGGCGAACGGGUGAGUAACACGGGAGUAACCUGCCCUUGACUUUGGGAUAACUUCAGGAAACUGGGGCUAAUACCGGAUAGGAGCUCCUGCUGCAUGGUGGGGGUUGGAAAGUUUCGGCGGUUGGGGAUGGACUCGCGGCUUAUCAGCUUGUUGGUGGGGUAGUGGCUUACCAAGGCUUUGACGGGUAGCCGGCCUGAGAGGGUGACCGGCCACAUUGGGACUGAGAUACGGCCCAGACUCCUACGGGAGGCAGAAGUGGGGAAUAUUGCACAAUGGGCGGAAGCCUGAUGCAGCAACGCCGCGUGCGGGAUGACGGCCUUCGGGUUGUAAACCGCUUUCGCCUGUGACGAAGCGUGAGUGACGGUAAUGGGUAAAGAAGCACCGGCUAACUACGUG